rnacentral:rRNA from 1 species
UACGGGGGGGGCAAGCGUUGUUCGGAAUUACUGGGCGUAAAGGGCGCGUAGGCGGCCUUCUAAGUCGGACGUGAAAUCCCUCGGCUUAACCGAGGAACUGCGUCUGAUACUGGAAGGCUUGAAUCCGGGAGAGGGAUGUGGAAUUCCAGGUGUAGCGGUGAAAUGCGUAGAUAUCUGGAGGAACACCGGUGGCGAAGGCGGAUCUCUGGGCCGAUACUGACGCUGAGGAGCGAAAGCGUGGGGAGCGAACAGG